UACGUAGGGUGCGAGCGUUUGUCCGGAAUUACUGGGCGUAAAGAGCUCGUAGGUGGUUUGUCGCGUUGUUCGUGAAAACUCACAGCUUAACUGUGGGCGUGCGGGCGAUACGGGGCAGACUGGAGUACUGCAGGGGAGACUGGAAUUCCUGGUGUAGCGGUGGAAUGCGCAGAUAUCAGGAGGAACACCGGUGGCGAAGGCGGGUCUCUGGGCAGUAACUGACGCUGAGGAGCGAAAAGCGUGGGGGAGCGAACAGG
rnacentral:rRNA from 1 species